CCAAACUUGGUCAUUUAGAGGAAGUAAAAGUCGUAACAAGGUUUCCGUAGGUGAACCUGCGGAAGGAUCAUUACCGAGUGCGGGUUCGAACGAGCCCAACCUCCCACCCGUGUUUACCGUUACCGCGUUGCCUCGGCGGGCCCACUGGGGCCUGGUCCCGGUCGCCGGGGGGCUCCUGCCCCCGGGCCCGCGCCCGCCGAAGCGCCCUGGAACCCUGUCUGAACAGUGAGUCUGAGUGAGAUAUUUAAUCAUUAAAACUUUCAACAACGGAUCUCUUGGUUCCGGCAUCGAUGAAGAACGCAGC
rnacentral:misc_RNA from 1 species